GGCCGGGGUGCAACGGAUGCAUUCAACACAUUUCAAGUGACUUGGAUGUAGAUAUAGAGCCAGUGCAAGUCAAUUAUGGCAGGAAAUCAAAGUCAGUUUCCUCAUUUAUCCAUCACCGUAGGACUAUUAUGACUACUGCAUUUUAUUUUAGUUUGGAGAUAAGUCAUGUUGUCAAAAUUACUUCUUAUUUGCAACUGAUUGGUGUUGCACAGAAUAGGCAUGCCCUGUUGCAACUCAUGGGUAUUGUCCUUCUGCUUUUGCAUGCUACUAUAUAUUGCUUUUGGUUUUAGUUAAGCUAACAUCACCAAUCUUUUAAUGAUUGCUGGGCUUGGCCUUGUGCACAAGUUAUGGCCCAGUUUUUUACUUAGUAAUUUUGGUUUCUUAAUGUUUUUAGGAGACACAUUUAUUCCAGCUGCACUUUAUGGAAAUAUAAUAAACUAAAUAGCAGAUAGUGCUACGAUGUCAAUAGUCAUCUGGUUAUGAAGCUGUCAUUUUAAUCAUGAAAUAGUCACUGUUCGAUCUUUCUUGCAAUUUCUGGAAACAAUUUUGUGUCUUACCACCCAAUAUUGAAUUUGUGCUAACUAUACACAAAUUGGGAUGAACUGGGAUCAUGGUAUUUAACCAUGAUAAGCUAAAGGUAGUUUAAACAUGUUUAAUAAAGUCACUUUUGCUUCUUCUUGUUGUGAUAUAUUGUACUAUUAUAUGGUCAGCUAGAAGAUGAAAACUAUAUUUGUUGUAGUUGAGCUUAAACUAAUUUCUUCAUGUUGUUGAUGUAUUUUGUGGUUUCAUGCACUUUCGUUCGUGAACUUGGAGACAACUUGGAGACUAUGCUUAUUGGAGAGGCUGCUUCUUGGGAGUGCAAAGUAAGCAGAACAACCCACACAACUACUGCAAUCAAAUAGGAGUAGUUGCUAGAAGUAUACUUUGUUGAAAGCUCAUCGAUGUGCCAAUUUUUGAUAGUCAAGGAAAUCCUGGACACUUACAAUCAAGUUGGGCAUACAUGUCAACUUUUUUUCAGGGACGACAUAUAUAUCAAUUAUGUGAGGUGAGGGGAUAGAGUUGUGAAGGCAAAUUAUAAGAAGUGUUUAAGCACUUUGGGGCUGGUGGCUAGUUAAAUUCUGAUAAUGCAUUCACAGAUGAGUAAGAGGUUAAACUACAUCAGAGAUUGGAGAAACUUUACUUAUCCACUCGUGCUGCCAAACAUUUUUCAAAGGGACGUUGUUCGGGGUGUGGAGGGCUACAUAGUGACAGUACCUAAGCAAGUGGAAAUAGGAACACAUACAAGAUAAUCAUUGCUUUAUCAGAAACAUCUUGAGCAAGACAGAGAACUGUGGAUCCUGUGUGAACUUGAAGAUUGGUGACAAUUGAAGGGAGCAGUGAGACCCAUUAGAAGAUGGUCAAUGUACUAUCAGGGAGCAGUGAGACAUUUGAAGUUUUUUGGCACACAUGAAAGCUGGGUAGAUGUCGCGGCUGGGGUGUUCUCUUCUCCAUGCGGUGUUAGGCUCUGUUAGGGAUGAGUCGAGAACGGCCCACCAGCCUGCACUGCACCUCAAUUGGAGCUGUCGAGAGCAUCUCAGAUCAUGCAUCCUGUCUGGGUGUCCAGGAGCGAAAGUCGGAUGUCAAUGCAUUCGAUGUAUUUGAAACAAUGGAUGUAAGACAGAAUCAAUUUGUGGAUAUUUCAACAAUGGAUGUAAGACAGAACCAAUGCGCGGAUCUGUUGAAAGUAUGUACUGUAAGCGCAA